CGGGGAGAGGCGGCUCCAGGCCCGGGGGAGGAACUACAAGUCCCGUGGAGCCGCGCCGCCCGCGCGGGGCUAUAAAAGGGGGAAUGGCCCGGCAGCCGCAGUCGGAGCAUCCCCGGCUGCGGCGGAGCCGCUCCCGCUCCGCAUCCCGGGGAUUCCCGCCGGGAGAGGGGAGCGGGGCCGUGCCCCGACCCCCGGAGCAGGCUGAGGCUCUGGACGACGAGGAGGAGGAGGAUGAAGAGGAUGAGGAUGAGGAGGAUGAGGAGGAUGCAGCUCCGCGCUCCGGGGGAGCCGCAGCCCCGCGAGGCUCCGGGCGCUGCCGGCGGAGGUUUGGGCAUUCCUGGAGGGAUGGACCCCAUCGGCCCCAGGAGCUGCUGGACUCUCCUGAUGAGGACACCAGGACACACAGGACUGGCUCUUGUCCCCUCCACCGAGACCCUCCCGAGCCGGGAUUCGUCCCCGGGUGGUUCCUCAGCGCUGGAAUGCCCAGCCCGUGUUUGGGACGGGGUUUGGAUGCUCCCUUCUGUCCGCAGCUGGGAAUGGCACUGCUCCUCCCAGCCUCUGGAUUUACUGCUUUGGGCAUCGUCCUGCCGGCACUGGCUCCUCACAGGGAACUUCCCCAGGGACACGGGGAGAAGCUGCACUCACAGCCUGAGGCUACAAUUCCCUCUUUUUCUGGGCUACCCUGAGCAUCCCUCCUCUGGAGGAGGAAGGAUUCCAUGAUUCCAUGCACUCCUGGAUGAUACAUCCUGCUGCUCUGAGGCCUCACCAGUGCCUCAGCCCUGCUCGAUGCUCCCUGAGGGUUUUUGGUGCUGCUCUCCAGUUCCAGGCACCCAAAAGGGACAAAGAGCCCCAAAUCCGCUCCCCUCUGAACACCAAAUUCCAGGUCCGUGCUGAAGGCUCAGGUGGGGGACAGAGGGGACAGCCAGGAGCAGCACCCGAGGAUGGACCCUGGAGCUCAGGGACAGCCAGGAGCAGCUCCCGAGGAUGGACACGAGCUCAGGGACACAGGGGACAGCAAGGACAGCCAGGAACAGCACCCGAGGAUGGACCCUGGAGCUCAGGGACAGCCAGGAGCAGCUCCUAAGGAUGGACACGAGCUCAGGGACACAGGGGACAGCCAGGAGCAGCUCCCGAGGAUGGACCCUGCAGCUGGAGCUCAGCAGGGACCAGCAGCUCUCCCCGGGCAGCCGUGGAACAUCAGGGCUGGGACAGGUUCUUCCCCCAGCUCCAGAACCAGAGCCAGCUCCUCCCUGGAACUCUGCAUCCCCUCACCCUGCAGGAGCUGAGCUCCCCCGCGCUGGCAGGGCUCCAUCAGCCACUUCUGGCUUUGGGAAUUAUCCUGCUGGAUCCUGGCCAUGGAUGGAUGGAUGGAUGGAUGGUGAGGAGCUCCCGGGUCAAACAGGAGCUCAGCGCUUUUCUCCGGCAAGGACCAAGCACUCGCCUGCUUUCCAGUGGAUUUUUUUUUGUCUUUAUUUUUACCCCUCUGCUUUUUUCUGCUUUUUGGGGGUUUGGGUGUUUCCUGAGGACGCUGGAGCUGCAGUGGAUCCCGUGGUGGGAUCUGGAACCUUCGGAAGAGCAGGAGCUGAGCUGAUGCUGGGGUCUCGAGGCUCACCCUGGGCUGGGUGGCCCCAGCAGGGUCCUCGUGCCACACCUGGGACAUCCCAGCGGGUCCCAGGCAGGAGGGAGCGGGAAGCAGGCGCAGGAAUGGGGGGACCUCAGCCAGGGGAAUGUCACCACUGCGGGAAUGUCACCCUCAGAGACAAUUAAAUUGCAUUUAAUAAACCCCACUGGCUCCCUGAGUGCUGGAUGUUCUUUUCCAUUUGCCACAUUUCCGGGGGAUUUCAGGGAUGCCUUGGAUUGUCCAGGAAACCUUGAAAGACUCCUGCCCUCACCAAACCACCCCAGGAGUUUGACACUUUUAUUUUGCAGGAAAAUUCUCCCCUGUCCUUUCCCUCUCCCCUUUCCAGCCUUUAACCACCACUGCCACCCCUCCUGCUCCAAAAGCCACUGAAAUGCAAAUUAUUUCCCCUAAAACCCCACUGUUAAUUGUCCCUGGAUUCUGUUCCCUCCUACCCUGUGGCACCGGAAGGUGCCGUGUGGAAAUAGAACAUAAAAGGGAUAUUUAUGGACUGGAAAUAUCCCUUUCUGAUAAUUAUUGUUUUUAGGAUUUAGAACUUUAUUUAACAACAAAAAAGGGGUCCUGCCGUAUAAAAAGCACAGAUGGACCACGGAUUAUUCAAAUUAAUUAUUUGGGAGCAGCCAGGGUGGGUGGAAGUUUCUCCCACGAUUAUUUAGGUUGAAAAAUGUUUCCAAGGUUGAGUCCAACCUGUGAUUGAUCCCCUCCUUGUCCAUCAGACCCCGAGCUCCCACUGUGCCAUCCUUUUCCAACACAAUUCCAACCCCAAAUCCCGCAUGGAUCCAUGGCUGGCGCUGCCUUUCACCCCAGGGACACAUCCAGGGGGAUCCCAGUGCUGGGGUAUGGGAUUUUUGGGGUUUCUGAGGAGCAUUUCCCUCACAGGCUGUGGGAAUGGGACUUGCAGAGAAUUUUUACAGCUUGAUAGAAAGUUUACAUACAAAUCCAUACUGUGUAAACCUUCUACCAAGCUUUGCUGUCCCACCCUUCACAUGAGACUGAAAAUGGAAUAAAAUAAAAGUUUUGGAACCCCUCUCAGCUGCCCCAUCUGUGGAUCAGAACAAGAGGACAGAACAAGGGCGACUCUGCCAAAAAGCCUUUGGAUCCCCCAGCCCCGACCUGCUCCAAGCAAACACCGGGGCAGGGUGGGCCUGGAUUUACCUGGCUGAGCAGCUGGAAAAGCAGCCCGGCCUCCCUCCCAGGAAACCCGAGAAAUCCGUGGGGAUUUAUGAGUUUGCUCUCCCAAAUGCAAAUAUUAACCCUCGCUGCCCGGGGGCAGUGCUCCUGAUACCCUGCUAGGAAUUCCCUGGCUCCUCCUCCGGCCUGGGAGGGUUUUGGGAUGCUGUUCCCCAAAAAAAAAAAGGUGCCAGAGCCCCUCUCUGGGGAAGGGCUGGGCAGGCUGGAGCCCAAUCCCCCAGGAAUGGGAAUUACCCCAAAGCUGCUCCCGGCUAAGCUCAUUUUCCCUCUAAGCCUCCCUGCUCUGGUGGCCCUCAAGGAGAGGAAAUUCUGCUGGCAGAAUCUUCCAAAGGAGAUUUCCUGGGGCGUGGAGCCGUGAGCAGGGGGAGCCAGCCCUGGUUCCAGCUCUGGGAGCGCUGUUCCUGCAGCUCCUGCAGCUCCUGCAUCUCCUGCAGCUCCUGCAGCCCCUGCAGCUCCUGCAGCUCCUGCAG